UACGUAGGGUGCGAGCGUUAAUCGGAAUUACUGGGCGUAAAGCGCGCGCAGGCGGUCCUUUAAGUCUGAUGUGAAAGCCCACGGCUCAACCGUGGAGGGUCAUUGGAAACUGGGGGGACUUAGUACAGAAGAGAAGAGUGGAAUUCCACGUGUAGCGGUGAAAUGCGUAGAGAUGUGGAGGAACACCAGUGGCGAAGGCGACUCUUUGGUCUGUAACUGACGCUGAGGCGCGAAAAGCGUGGGGGAGCAAACAGG
rnacentral:rRNA from 1 species